UCUGGAGGACCAAGAGGGCUGAGUCUGAUGAAGCAUGACUUCACUGAUAUACCCUUAGACAAAAGGGUUGGAGAGAGAAGCCUUUAUUAGAGAAAAUCUUGAUGCUAAAUGUACUACCCAACAUUC
rnacentral:snoRNA from 1 species